rnacentral:rRNA from 1 species
AGAUCGUUUACCGUGAAAAAAUUAGAGUGUUCAAAGCAGGCAGAUCCAAUUUUCUGCCACCGAAUACAUUAGCAUGGGAUAAUGGAAUAGGACCCUGUCCUCCUAUUUUCAGUUGGUUUUGGCAGCGCGAGGACUAGGGUAAUGAUUAAUAGGGAUAGUUGGGGGCAUUAAUAUUUAAUUGUCAGAGGUGAAAUUCUUGGAUUUAUGAAAGAUUAACUUCUGCGAAAGCAUCUGCCAAGGAUGUUUUCAUUAAUCAAGAACGAAAGUUAGGGGAUCGAAGACGAUCAGAUACCGUCGUAGUCUUAACCAUAAACGAUGCCGACCAGCGAUUAGGAGACGUUGAAUACAAAACACCACCAUCGGUGCGGUCGUCCUUGGCGUUGGUCUUCAAAAGCCAGCGCGGGGGUGGCUU